UACGAGGGGGGCAAAUGUUGUUCGGAAUCACUGGGCGUAAAGGGGGCGUAGGCGGGUGUUUAAGUUAGGUGUUUAAUCCUGGGGCCCAACCCCAGUCGUGCACCUAAAACUGGACAUCUUGAAUAGUGGAGAGGUCAGUGGAAUUGGGGGUGUAGCGGUGGAAUGCGUAGAGAUCCCCAAGAACACCAGUUGCGAAGGCGGCUGACUGGACACAUAUUGACGCUGAGGCUCGGAAAGCAUGGGGAGCAAACAGG
rnacentral:rRNA from 1 species